rnacentral:lncRNA from 10 species
UAAGAUAAGCUAAUAACUUUGGACACAAUUUCACUCCUCUGCAUUCACCAAAUGUCCAAUUACAUAUCCUCCCUGCCUGGACCUUCAGAACAAUAUAAAACUGAAUGAAGGCUAUGAAAGAAGUCACAGGAGGAUUUUUGCAGAGCUUCCAUCCAGUUCAGAAACAAAGCAAUUCAAUACAUGUCUUCAAGAUUUCUAAAGGCAAUGACUUGAUUCUAAGUUCCAUGAAAGCAGGCAUUGUGUGAAUUUCUCCUGCAUCUGGAACUGGCCUAGCACACCAGUUGUUGUUGUUUGUUUGUUUUGUCAGUAGAACCAUGGAGAAUUGCCAAGAUUGCUGACUAGAUGUGGCCAGGAGAAAUAUCUCCCACUGAGAGACUGGGACAUUGGAAAGACUAUAACACACCUCUGAGUAGAUCUUCUGAUGGAAGACAUUAAGAGUGGAUGCAGAGAGGAUGCAGAUGCUGGGCUGAAGAGAGAGGAAGCUGGAAACCCUGCAUAGUGUGGCUGAGCCUCAGGACUUGUACCUGGCCCUCAGAGACUCCUGGGGGAAGGGUGAGUUUACAGGUGAGGAGUGGCCUGCUCUCACCAUGGACCCAUUCUGGUAGGUCCCUCAACCUCUAUGGGCAUCUGAGAUGGUAGGAAAAGCUGCUCAGAGAGGUCAUAUGGGCAGGACUCCAGCCUAUGCAGAGCCCAGAGUGGUGGGAGAACAGCUGCAGUGAAGCACAUCCAGGGACGGCCAUCCUCCAAGGCUCACUGUGCUUCUCCAGGAUACUUUAGCCUCAAUAUGACUGUUAGAGCUAGACAAAGCAGGGCAGUCUUGCUCGUGGGAUGCGGCCUGAUGCCUGAUCUGAUGCUCUGUUACCUGCUGGCCUCUCUUGGGGAGCCAGUCUGGUCGUGCUUGCUUGAAGUGCAGCCUUGGAUACCCAACAGGGGUGCUUCUAGGAACCCUCAUCAUAGCUCCUUCAAUGGCAGACUUAGCUCCUUCAAUGGCAGACUGUGCCUGAUUAUCAGAGAACUCCAGCAGACCAGGCCCCACUUACAUGAACCAGCCCACGCACAGCUUCACCCUAUCACAGCCCUCCCGUAAUGCUUUACUGACAUGCAUUUGCUCAUGGCCAUUCUCCAUCGCUGUGCUUGUAUGAGUCCACCUUGUUGCUUCCCCCUGCCAUUAACAUGCAGGUUCACUCCUGUGCCAGCACUAAUGUGUGCACAGAUGCUGGCAACACUGUUCUCCCCCCAACCCCUGCUACCACCGCCACCAAUGCUGCCGGUGUGAAUGCAUACAUGGACACCAGCAACUCCAUCUCUGCUAGUGUACUGCCCUUGCUGUGCUGUCAUCACUGGCAUAAACAUGUGCAGGAACACCACCUCCCUGCUCCCACAGUUGCUCUGUGCAAGCCAACAUGUGUGCACCUUGCCACAUUGCUGUGGCUGCUGGUAUGCAUGAGCCAGCAUGGAUCCCACUGCCACUACUCCAGUGACAUGCUUUGACCAGCACCCCUCCCCAUCAGAGUGUGGUGGCCAGUGGACAAGAACACCUCAGUCUCUCCAGUGCAGCAGCUUCCUAACCUUGAGGGGCCAGAGAACAAGGCUGGGGGCCCAGUACCAGCCUCCCAGAGUUAAAACAUGCAGCCCAGCAGUGUAGAGCUGAGCCUUGGCUUUCUAAAAUCUUCCAGAAAUAAAUGAAGCCAGUUGACUGAACCCAUCAUAUGCCACAAUCUAACUCCCAGGGCAUCAAAGAAGAUAAAAGCCAAAAUCCCCAUCCAAAGGACAGUAAUAUCAAAGAUGAGAAAGAACCAGUGCAAAAAACUCUGGCAAUUCAAAAAGCCAGAGUGUCUUUUUACCUCCAAACGAUCACUCCAUUUCCUCAGUGGUGGUUCUUAACUAGGCUGAAAAGACAGAAAUGACAGAUAUAGACUUCAGAAUAUGGAUAGGAAAGAUGAUCAAGAUUUGGGAGAAGAUUGAAACCCAAUCCUAGGAAGCUAAGGAAUACAAUAAUGCAAUACAGGAGCUGAAAGAUGAAAUGGCCAUUUUAAGAAAGAACCAAACUGAUGUGAUAGAGUGACAGAGCUGAAAAACUCACUUUGAGAAUUUCACAAUACAAUUGCAAGUAUUAACAGCAGAGUAGACCAUGCUGACGAAGGACUCUCAGAUCUUGAAGACCAGUUCUCCAAAGUUAACUUGGUCAGAGAUGGAGUCUCACUCUGUCUCCCACGCUGGAGUGCCUCUGAAUGCUGUUUUAGCCAUGGUUCUGGAGAGGGUAGCGACAGGAGCUGUCUAGGUGGGAUCCAGAGGAAAGUACGAAUGAGCAGAAGGUGUUGAAAAGCUAAUUCACAGCUCCCCAGCUGCCUACUUGUGGGGACAGCUUUCUUCGGCUGCAGGCAGUAAUUGCUUUACUGCUAUCCUAAAUUGCCCUGGAGAAGAAAGCAAAGCUUUGCUUGCUUUAUCCUGUGGAUUUAAAGCAGUGCCUAUACUUGCUCUGCAUAGAAGAGAACUUCUCCUACAGAUAUUUUUAUUCUAAUCCACGCAACACAUUCCAGUUGAAACAAGAUUUUGAAGACACGCCCUAGUGUACAUUUUAUCUGCACUGGCCUCAUGAGGAAAAUCAAAUAAGAUUAUCUUACAUUACAAAAUUUUCUUGCAUACUUUAUGCAACAGUGGAAACAACACAGGAUUGGAAUUAGAAGACCUGGUUUUAAAUACCAAAUUGUUCCCCAGAAUGAUCUGAUCCUACUGCUUAGCCUAUCUGGAUGUCAGUUUCUACAUCUCUAAAAGGAAGGUGUG